CGAGGGAUCCAAGCGUUAUCCGGAUUUAUUGGGUUUAAAGGGUGCGUAGGCGGGCUAUUAAGUCAGUGGUGAAAGCCCCAAGCUUAACUUGGGAAUUGCCAUUGAUACUGAUGGUCUUGAGUACACUUGAGGUAGGCGGAAUGUGUCAUGUAGCGGUGAAAUGCUUAGAUACGACACAGAACACCGAUUGCGAAGGCAGCUUACUAAAUUGUAACUGACGCUGAGGCACGAAAGCGUGGGGAUCAAACAGGAUUAGAUACCCUGGUAGUCCACGCCCUAAACGAUGAUUACUCGAUGUGUGCAAUACACCGUACGCGUACUGAGCGAAAGCAUUAAGUAAUCCACCUGGGAGUACGACCGCAAGGUUG
rnacentral:rRNA from 1 species